UAAAUAUUUUUGUAACUAAAUGGAAGAGAGACGGACAUGAAUGCAGCUAGACCUGAGAGAUCUCCCCUUUUGGCUCACUUUCCUCCUGAAAUUGCCCUUUGUGCACUCCCUAUUUUGGAAUCCAAGCCUGCCCAGAAUGUAGACCUUUCCUUGAGAAACACUGCUUUGCAGUGUUGCCAAUCUUAGCCCGAAGCAGAUGCUGCCAGGACCCGCUCCUACUUCUCAGGUCUUGGGCCUGGUGGGGAGUGGGCACAUUUUAAACAGCAGGGUCUGUAAUCCUUGGCCCUUGUCCAUAGGAGGCUGAGAAUCUAACUGCCCACCCCAGAUGUUCACCAGAGGCUGGAAGAGUUGGUGUGUGAUUCCAUAAGAUCCCUCAGGCCUGAGUGGGGCAACCCCACAAUGUAUUCUACCUCGUUUUCCCAAUGUCCCUGCAGGGUCCAGCUCUUGUAAUUCACAGUGGUCACUGGUUGAUAAUGCACCUUUUAAUACCUGGGCUCUCUUCCUUGUCUUCUUUCCCAUUCUUCUUCACACCCCAAAUUUUUGUCAGAGUCUACUGCUGGGGGAAUGCAAACGUGUACAAGCACCACUGCUACAUAAUACAGUCAUGUGCUGAACAGUGGACCAUAUAUAGUAUAGUGGUUCCCUAAGAUUGCAAUGGAGCUGAGAAAUUCCUGCCACCUAGUGAUAUUGUAGUGUGAAACAUUACUCACUUCUUUGUGGCAAUGCUGGUAUAAACAAACUUAUUUUGCUACCAUCAUAUAAAAGUAUAGCAUAGGCUGGGCAUGAUGGUGCAUGCCUAUAAUCACAGCAACUUGAAGGGCUGAGGCAGGGGGAUUGCAAGUUUGAGACCGGCCUUGGUAACUUAGUGAGAUCCUGUCU
rnacentral:lncRNA from 1 species